AAGGAAUAUUGGUCAAUGGAGGGAACUCUGAACCAGCCAUGCCGCGUGCAGGAUGACUGCCCUAUGGGUUGUAAACUGCUUUUGUACGGGAAUAAACCCCUCUACGUGUAGGGGGCUGAAUGUACCGUAAGAAUAAGGAUCGGCUAACUCCGUGCCAGCAGCCGCGGUAAUACGGAGGAUCCGAGCGUUAUCCGGAUUUAUUGGGUUUAAAGGGUGCGUAGGCGGCCUUAUAAGUCAGGGGUGAAAUACGGCAGCUCAACUGUCGCAGUGCCUUUGAUACUGUAGGGCUUGAAUCUAUUUGAAGUGGGCGGAAUAAGACAAGUAGCGGUGAAAUGCAUAGAUAUGUCUUAGAACUCCGAUUGCGAAGGCAGCUCACUAAGUUAGUAUUGACGCUGAUGCACGAAAGCGUGGGGAUCGAAC
rnacentral:rRNA from 1 species